AGGAAAACCAUGACCUUUAAGGCUUUUUCAUUUUAUUUUUACAGCGGUCAAAACAGCAGAGCAACAACAAAACAACAAAACAAACCAAACCAACUGUUGGGCCUGACUCGGUGUAACGGACAGGUUCAUUCAGACCUUUUGUUGAUGCACUUUAUUGCGAAAUAGUCCAGAAACCCCUUGUUUUCUGUCUGCGACAGGAGGCUCGAGUGAGUCGGGCGGUGGAGCUCAUGAUCGCCCACGUGGAGAAUGUGACGAGGCGACGCGACAGACACCUGGCGGAGCUGGAGGAGGCCAAGAAGAUGACCCAGCAGCAAAACUCCAGCAGAAACAUCAUCGACCCCAGAGCGUCACCAGAUCCAGGGGAAAGUGACAACAGAAAGAGAAGCUCUCAGCAGUACAACGGUCGUCGACGGGUCAGUGUAUCAAUAAUUCCCAGCCAGACGGAGGAGAAGAGAAAGCCAGACUCCAGGAAGCGUGCGGCUCACAGAGGCUCGUCCAGCAGGAAGUCCUGCCCGUCGCCGUCCCUGAGCUCAGAGUCCAGCGUCUGUGCCACGACUAAGGAGGACAGCUGCUCAGUGGACGACAGGCCACUCUGUCCAGAUGAAAAUCCGCCAGAAGCUUCAGCCGCUCAGCUUCCUCCAGACCCUCCUCCCAUCCCCAACACUGAGUGCCCCCCAUCCAAACAAGUGGUCGCCAGGAGAACACAAAACAAAAAGUACCUGUAG
rnacentral:lncRNA from 1 species